GGGCCCGUGGCGCAGAAUGGAUAGCGCGGCGGCCUUCGGAGCCGGAGGUCGUGGGUUCAAGUCCCACCGGGCCCG
rnacentral:tRNA from 5 species